rnacentral:rRNA from 1 species
GCACCACAAGGCGUGAAGCUUGCGGUUCAAUUGGAGUCAACGCCGGGAACCUUACCGGGGGCGACAGCAGGAUGAAGGCCAGGUUGAUGGUCUUGCUGGACGAGCUGAGAGGAGGCGCAUGGCCGUCGUCAGUUCGUGCCGUGAGGUGUCCUCUUAAGUGAGGUAACGAUCGAGACCCGCGCCCCUUGUUGCUAACAGACUCCAUCGGGGUCUGUGCACACUAGGGGGACCGCCGUCGAUAAGACGGAGGAAGGAGCGGGCCACGGCAGGUCAGUAUGCCCCGAAUCCCCCGGGCCACACGCGAGCUGCAAUGGCAGGGACAAUGGGUGUCGACUCCGAAAGGAGGAGGUAAUCUCUAAACCCUGCCUCAGUUGGGAUCGAGGGCUGAAACCCGUCCUCGUGAAUAUGGAAUGCCUAGUAAUCGCGCGUCAUCAUCGCGCGGUGAAUACGUCCCCGCUCCUUGCACACACCGCCCGUCGUUCCAUCCGAGUGGGGUUUGGGUGAGGCGUAGUCCUUGGUGGCUGCGUCGAACUAUUUUCCGCAAGGAGGGAA